rnacentral:rRNA from 1 species
ACGUAGGAGGCGAGCGUUAUCCGGAUUUACUGGGCGUAAAGCGCGUGCAGGCGGUGCGAUAAGUCGUGCGUGAAAUCUCCCGGCUCAACUGGGAGAGGUCGUUCAAUACUACCGGACUUGAGAGCGAUAGAGGAAAAUGGAAUUCCCGGUGUAGUGGUGAAAUGCGUAGAUAUCGGGAGGAACACCAGUGGCGAAAGCGAUUCGCUGGGCCUACUCUGACGCUCAGACGCGACAGCAUGGGGAGCGAACGG